CAGUCGCCACGGUAAUACGAAGGGUGCAAGCGUUACUCGGAAUUACUGGGCGUAAAGCGUGCGUAGGUGGUUCGUUAAGUCCGAUGUGAAAGCCCUGGGCUCAACCUGGGAAUGGCAUUGGAUACUGGCGGGCUAGAGUGCGGUAGAGGGUAGUGGAAUUCCCGGUGUAGCAGUGAAAUGCGUAGAGAUCGGGAGGAACAUCCGUGGCGAAGGCGACUACCUGGACCAGCACUGACACUGAGGCACGAAAGCGUGGGGAGCAAACAGGAUUAGAUACCCCGGUAGUCCCUGUCUCUUAUAC
rnacentral:rRNA from 1 species